GAAUUGAGCUUUGAGUUGCUCAGGUUCGGCCCAUCAAUAUUAUUUAAAACUCAAGCUUGGCUUGUUCAAUAUUUAUUAAAUUCGAACUCAAUUUUAGCUCAGCUCGUUUUAAGGUCAUCUAUAAUAUUAACAAGCCAAGAUCAAACAUAGCUCAUUUAUUCAUGCAUCUUCUUUCUCAACACAAGCAUAAAAAAAUAAAUGAAGUUAGGCUCUACUAAAAGUUGUCCUAGGUUUCGAGUAAGGUUUUAAUUUAACAGUAAUAAAACUGAGUUUAAGCGCACCUAGUUUGUAUUUCAUCUAGUAAAUUAUUUUAAUUUAUUUUACUUAGCCAAAAAAUAAAUUCUAAAAGAAAUAGUUUAGGAAACCUUAUUUAAAAACACUAAGUGAAAGAUAAGUUUCGAAAUAAAAAUAGUUUUAAUUAAAAUGAUUCAAGGGCACCAAGGGGACCCUCCUUAGAACCACUAAAGUAAAA
rnacentral:misc_RNA from 1 species